rnacentral:rRNA from 1 species
GUGCCAGCCGCCGCGGUAAUACGUAGGGGGCAAGCGUUGUCCGGAUUUAUUGGGCGUAAAGAGCGUGUAGGCGGCCAGGUAGGUCAGCUGUGAAAACUCGAGGCUCAACCUCGAGACGUCGGUUGAAACCCCCUGGCUAGAGUCCGGAAGAGGAGAGUGGAAUUCCUGGUGUAGCGGUGAAAUGCGCAGAUAUCAGGAAGAACACCCGUGGCGAAGGCGGCUCUCUAGUACGGUACUGACGCUGAGACGCGAAAGCGUGGGGAGCGAACAGGAUUAGGAACCCUUGUAGUCC